rnacentral:tRNA from 1 species
GGAAAGAUGGCUGAGUGGUUGUAAAGCACGGGUUUGGAGUAUCCGAGUAGGAUUUAUUUCUACCGAGGGUUCGAAUCCCUCUCUUUCC